AGUAGGUACAGGCCUACGGCCUCAAGGUUUAAGGAUUUCGUCUCUCGAUUGGAUUUUAACACAAGGUUUAAGGAUUUCGUCUCUCGAUUGGAUUUUAACAAUCAGCUCAUCCAUCUGUUCGUGUGGUCAUGUCUAAAUUUAAAUGUAUCUAUACAUUAAGUCAUGUCUAAAUAUAUCCAAAUUUUAACAAACUUGAAAUUUUUUUGUCGUACGAAGGAAGUAGUAUAACUGUAUAGUAUAACUGUAUAAGAUAGUCUGAAUUGGAAACUUUUACCGCACGAAGCUCCAAACAUUGUGACUUACCGAUUGAUAUAAAAAAAAAAUCCCAACUUCCUUUCCAAAACAAGGAUAAAACAACAACUAGUACUCCACAGUCAGCAAUCGAAGGCACGUAGCAAUUGUCACGGGGACAGCGCCAUGCAUAUCAGUCAUUCAUCAUUACGUACACAGGCCACAAGGCGAAGA
rnacentral:lncRNA from 1 species